CUUAUCCAGAGUGGUGGAGGGAACGGCCCUUUGAUCCCACAGCAACCUGCAUUGGCAAGGUGCUAAUUCCGGCGGUUUAACCGAGCGAUGAG
rnacentral:ncRNA from 1 species